CACUGGCUCUGGCUUCCGCUUCAGCCUCAGCUGUGUCCUGUAUUCGCCUUAACACCAUCAUCGUCUUCAGCUUCAGCUUCAGCUUCUGCUUCGUCAUCAGCGUCUUCCUCAUCCGUCUCAGCCUUCUACGCUUGCAUCUUCCCUGUCUUCCACACGCCAAAGGCUUUGUCUUCAUCUCACUGAACCGUAAAAAUUCCAUUUCGAACCGAAAAGAAACACAGCUUAGGGGUUUUUAUAUCUUGUGCUCUGCAUAUAAGCAGUCUCCACGGCGCCUCGGAAUUAGGGUUUUGGAAUAGCGCAGUUAGCUUCAACUGCAGCUUUUUUCUCCCGAGCACCAUCUGCAAAAAUGCUUGAUCUGAUGGCGAGCACGGGCACGGGUACCUUCCACCUUGAGAUUUCUAAAUUGGGUUUUCGUAGAAUGUUUCCAAUGUCGACCCCGUUGUCUAGAAUUCAAAUCACCUGUGGUCUAAGAAACGGGCCGAGAAAGCCUAUGUGGAGAAGCCGAGUACUUUCCACUGAGGCUAUUCAAGCAGUUCAGUCCUUGAAACUAGCCAAGGAUUCCUCUUCCAAACUGGAUCAAGUCUUUUGCACCAAGCUUAGUAGGCUUUUGAAGGCAGAUUUAGAGGACACCUUGGCCGAGCUUCGGCGCCAAAAUGAGCUUGAUUUAGCCCUCAAGGUCUUUAAUUUUGUGAGGAAAGAGCCAUGGUAUGUUCCGGAUCUCUCUCUGUUCAACGACAUGAUAAUGAUGUUGGGCAAGAAGAAGAUGAUUGAGAAGGUUGAACAACUCUUCAUAGAAAUGAAAAGUGAAGGAUUAGAUCCUGAUGCUCGGACAUAUACUGAACUGAUUGGAGCAUAUUUCAGAGCAGACAUGGUGAGCAAAGCAAUGGAUACGUACGAGCUGAUGAAAGCCUCUGCUUAUGUCCCAGAUAAGUUAACCUUGACCAUUUUAAUAAGGAAUCUAGAAAAGGCGGGUGAGGAAGCUCUUUCUGAACAGAUUAAGGAGGAGUGUGCUGAGUAUUUUGAUAACCCCAAGAAGUUUCUCGAAGAAGUUGAAAGAAAAUUUCCGAAGCGAAAGUCCUUGGUCAUCAUUUGAUGGAAUAUGGGCAGUUAUUAUAUUUCGGAUUCUCUCUUGGAGCAAAGCAAACACCUUGCCUUUUCACAAUGACAACAGGUUGUCCAUUUGGCAAAAUGGGUUCUUAUUCUCAAAGAAACUGCAAAAUUCAUGUUAGAGUUGGAUUAAAGUCUCGCAUAAAAAACUUAGAUUACAAGAAUUAAAGACUAUUGAGAGAUAGGGUGCUUGUAAUUGCAUGAUCCGGAGAAAGCUGGUAGCCUAAGGACUUGGACUUGUAAGUCUCCUUGGUAGCUCUAAUCCCAUUGAAGCAGCUAGAUUCCCCCCAGAGGAUAAGCCAAAGUUAUGUGAUGAUGCCUGUGACAAUGAGCUUGAAGAUGUACAGUGAGAUUACAUAGCUCCCUAAACUUCUAAGAAUUUUAACAAUUGCCAGUUAUAUUAUCAUGAGCAAUCCCUGAAUAUUAUUAUGUCAAGAUUAUGGUUAUAGUGAUGGUGGACCACCUUUUUUCCAUGCUGUCUGUCUACGCACAAUGUUUCAAAUCACUUAUUUACUUGCUAUAAUUUCAUGUAUUGUGAAGGUUGCUGAAAACAGUUGCUUUGUUUUUUUCAUCCUCUGAAAUUUUAUUCGAUUUAUUAUUUUCAGCUGCCCAAUAUUACACUCGUAUAUUGUACUGCAUUAGGUAGUUAUAUUCAUAGUUUCUUCAAUGCACCAUCGUCGAGUGGUCAUCCCCUCGUUCAAAUAUCCUACAAAUUCUGAGCACUAAUUAAACUCAGCAUGGCUAUGGAAAUAUCACAGCAUUUGAAGCAUCUUAAUAGUUUAUUGUUACUUGGGAUUUAGAAGAGACACUAACAUUACGGCUAAAACCGAUGAAUUGGAUUCCAAUAAUCAGUAUGUUAGCUGACUGUAAUAGUUGCCUAUGUUUCAAGGUACCUAUGGUGAUUACUGAUUCAGGUUUGCAGUACAAGGACAUCAAAAUUGGAGGCGGACCUACCCCUCCCGUUGGAUUUCAUGCAUAUAUGCUAUAACAACUAGCGCUUAGAGCCUUCGUCAACUGAUUUUUCACUACUCGAGUCUAAUAUUUCACUAUCUAUUACAUGCUUCUGCAGUUAACUUGUCUGGAAACUUGAAGCUGUUUCUCAAAGGUCCAAUUUUAUAGGUUCCAAUGUGAUUUUACUUUCUCUUGACGAAGAUUGUGAGACAUUUCUGUUUAGAUAUUUGUGUAAAUAUAAAGAGAAGCAGUAAAAUAUCAUUAAUCUCUUAGCACCAGUUAUUUCAACAGCCAAUAUCAAUUGUUAAACUUAAUACUAUUCGAUAAUUAUAGGGUCUUUUUUUUUCUAAAAGAUGUAGCCUCGCCCAAUCUUAGAAAUGCGUCUGCAAAUUAUGUUGCCAUGGUUCCUUCUGGUCGAAUAUGGUAUUUACUAUGUACAUUGUUGUUGUAAUUUUUCUACCUUCCAUCUUUUUCGAAAUUGGUAGUUUGCUGGGAAAGGGCAGCUUUACAUUUUCAGGGUCGGUGCUGGUCAGGCGAGAUCCUGCUACCUCUUCCUUCUGUCUUCAACCAUACCAUACCAUACCAGCACUCACAGGUUUCAUUUUGUCGGCUCAACAUUACAGGACCGGUGAGUAUGCAAAUACCAACUUCUUUCACAUUUUGAACUAAUUUGCCAGAUCUUUAGUUAGUAGUUGUUUGUUCAAAUUUCAAUUCUGUUCAAUCAGUUGGUAUAUCCUAAAGGCCUCACAUCAGCUCCCGGGAGAUCCCAGGUGGCGCCCAAUAGCCCUGUGAUCUUUGAUGUCCGGUUGGAGUAUAUUCGGGGGCUGGAGGACCAAAUGGAGCAAACAUCAAAUUUGAUCACAUUAGCUUUUGAGAACUUCAUUGAAUCAUAUUUUUUAAUCCACUUAUUGCAGGUAAAGCUUGGAAUUACUGCUGUGAGUAAUUUUGGUGCAGGUGGUAAGCGAAUAUGUUUAGUUUUAACCAGAAACUAUGAACAAUCGAGUAAGGUUCUAACAUUUACAAUAAGAUCAAGGGGCGACUUGUAAAUAAUACAAAGAUGUUAGUAUUAGCUAUUAGUCCAUCUCCAACCAGUUUUUUAUGUUUGCAGGAGUACCAAUAUAUUUCUCUAUUUUACAGGAUAUGCUAUAGUAAUUCGUUUCCAAUCACUCUAUACAUUUUAAGC